rnacentral:rRNA from 1 species
AUUGAACGCUGGCGGCAGGCCUAACACAUGCAAGUCGAGCGGCAGCGGAAAGUAGCUAGCUACUUUGCCGGCGAGCGGCGGACGGGUGAGUAAUGUCUGGGAAACUGCCUGAUGGAGGGGGAUAACUACUGGAAACGGUAGCUAAUACCGCAUAACGUCGCAAGACCAAAGAGGGGGACCUUCGGGCCUCUUGCCAUCAGAUGUGCCCAGAUGGGAUUAGCUAGUAGGUGGGGUAACGGCUCACCUAGGCGACGAUCCCUAGCUGGUCUGAGAGGAUGACCAGCCACACUGGAACAGAGACACGGUCCCGACUCCUACGGGAGGCAGCAGUGGGGAAUAUUGCACAAUGGGCGCAAGCCUGAUGCAGCCAUGCCGCGUGUAUGAAGAAGGCCUUCGGGUUGUAAAGUACUUUCAGCGGGGAGGAAGGUGUUGUGGUUAAUAACCACAGCAAUUGACGUUACCCGCAGAAGAAGCACCGGCUAACUCCGUGCCAGCAGCCGCAGUAAUAC